UGGCGGACGGGUGAGUAACGCGUGGGUAACCUGCCUUACACAGGGGGAUAACACUUAGAAAUAGGUGCUAAAACCGCAUAAGCGCACAGCUUCGCAUGAAGCGGUGUGAAAAACUCCGGUGGUGUAAGAUGGACCCGCGUCUGAUUAGCUUGUUGGCGGGGUAACGGCCCACCAAGGCGACGAUCAGUAGCCGGCCUGAGAGGGCGGACGGCCACAUUGGGACUGAGACACGGCCCAGACUCCUACGGAAGGCAGCAG
rnacentral:rRNA from 1 species